CCGGGGGUAGGGAGGUAAAGUAGCUUGGGAAGCUGGCUUAUGGAGGGGGAUAACUACGGGAAACGGUAGCUAAUACCGCGUAGUGUCGAGAGACGAAAGUGCGGGACCGAAAGGCCGCAUGCCAUGAGAUGAGCCCAAGUGGGAUUAGGUAGUUGGUGGGGUAAAGGCCUACCAAGCCUGCGAUCUCUAGCUGGUCUGAGAGGAUGGCCAGCCACACUGGAACUGAGACACGGUCCAG
rnacentral:rRNA from 1 species